rnacentral:rRNA from 1 species
UACGGAGGGUGCAAGCGUUAUCCGGAAUCACUGGGUUUAAAGGGUGCGUAGGCGGUUUGAUAAGUCAGUUGUGAAAUACCCCGGCUUAACCGGCGGUCGUGCGAUUGAUACUGUCAGACUUGAAUCAGGUUGAGGUAGGCGGAAUGUGGCAUGUAGCGGUGAAAUGCAUAGAUAUGCCAUAGAACACCGAUUGCGAAGGCAGCUUGCUGGACCUAGAUUGACGCUGAGGCACGAAAGCGUGGGGAGCAAACAGG